UACGUAGGGUGCGAGCGUUAAUCGGAAUUACUGGGCGUAAAGCGUGCGCAGGCGGUUUCUCAAGUCAGGGGUGAAAGCCCGGAGCUCAACUCCGGAAUUGCCUUUGAAACUGUGAAGCUAGAGUGCGGGAGAGGUGAGUGGAAUUCCCAGUGUAGAGGUGAAAUUCGUAGAUAUUGGGAAGAACACCGGUGGCGAAGGCGGCUCACUGGCCCGUUUCUGACGCUCAUGCACGACAGCGUGGGGAUCAAACAGG
rnacentral:rRNA from 1 species